GAAGUUCGUAAUGAAAUGGAGUGGUUGGUGUGCUGAAUAGUUGUAGAGAUUGGAUUUCACUUAAAACCCACCAAAUGACUCCUCCCACCGUGUUAUGAUGUUCCCCAAGUUUUGGACUCAAUCAGAUAUCGGUUGGUCCAUGAAAUUGGACAAUUCAGGUUCGUACGAAGUUCGUUAUGAAACCGGGUGGUUGGUGUAUUGCAUAGUUGUAGAGAGUAGAUUUCACUCAAAACCCUCCAAAUGACUCAUCCAACCAUAUUAUGAUGUUCCCUAAGUUUUGGACUCAAUCCGAUAUUGAUUGGUCCAUGAAAUUGGACAAUUCAGGUUCGUAUGAACUUCGUUCAGAAAUGUAGUUGUUGGUGUAUUGUAUAGUUGUAUAGAUUGGAUUUCACUCAAAAGUAAC
rnacentral:lncRNA from 1 species